GAUGAAGAACGCAGCGAAAUGCGAUACGUAGUGUGAAUUGCAGAAUUCAGUGAAUCAUCGAAUCUUUGAACGCACAUUGCACCUCUCGGUAUUCCGGGAGGUAUGCCUGUUCGAGCGUCAUUGCUGCCCUCAAGCACGGCUUGUGUGUUGGGCCUCCGUCCUCCUCCCGGGGGACGGGCCCGAAAGGCAGCGGCGGCACCGCGUCCGGUCCUCGAGCGUAUGGGGCUUCGUCACCCGCUCUUGUAGGCCCGGCCGGCGCUUGCCGACACAUCAAUCUUUUUUCCAGGUUGACCUCGGAUCAGGUAGGGAUACCCGCUGAACUUAAGCAUAUCAAUAAGCGGAGGA
rnacentral:misc_RNA from 1 species